AAAUAGCUUCCCUUGACUUCUCUUGUUCUCUUUGUCCUGCUUUGAUUAUCCUUCCUAUAUUCCUUUUAGUGAGUGUCUGGAUGGAGGAGAGAAGAGCUAUGAACACCUGCGCUUUGGAUACCUUGUUCAACUGGAAGUCUAGAGAAGCUAUCAUUUUUAACUGGGGCUUCUGGCAGAAAAGUUCACACCAGAGAACACCUGGAGAACAAUGAUUAUCACCCACAUCUCCGCUCUUAUUUGAUAUGGACUUUUGCUUUAAGGGGACUCCCCUCCAGAAAAGGUUUCUCUCUCAAGAAACAAAAACAAAACUUUGUUGAAGACUCUCCUGCAGGAAAUCUUUUAGACAUAGGUGUUUAAAUUCUAAGAUGAUCAAAUAUUGGGCCAUUUCCAUCAUGUCGUGUUUAACAGUUUUGAGUUAAAAUAGAAUUAUUGUGUAAUAAAACAUUCUCCUGGU
rnacentral:lncRNA from 1 species